UUUAUUGUAAGUGUCAUACUUGAUUGCUGGAAUGCCGAGUUCAAGCAGAGCGUCGCUGCUGUGCUUGCUCGAGCGAGCCUCGCGAGCAGAGCAGCAACACUCGGCUCGCUUGAGCGAGUGUCGCUGCUCUGCUUUGCUGCUUUGCUCGCUCGAGCGAGCGUCGGUGCUGUGCUCACUUGAGCGAGCAUCGCGAGCAGAGCAGUAACGCUCGGCUUGAGCAUCGCUGCUCUGCUUUGCUCACUCGAGCGAGCAGAGCUGCUGUGAUUGCGUCGCUGCUAUGCUCAUCCUCCAUCACUGAUGAUAUCAAUAUUGAUCGACUAAUCUGUGCCCACUCUUGAAUAAUGACCCAAAAAUAUAUCCAAGCGAUAAUUUAUUCAUGCAAUUUUGGGGCACAAGCGAAAAAGUUUCAGAGCUUCAAAAGGCCAUCUUAGAUUUCUGUUCAAACAUGAUUCUUGAUUUUUAUGCUAAAUGUUUAAUUCCAUGGUUUGUUUGAUGUGAACAACAAAAGUAGUUGUUUCAUAUUUGAGCUAGUUCUUCAUUUGGUGAAGAUAAUGAUGCUCUGGAAAUAAAGAGGAUUCAAUUUUUCUGUAUCUUUUGUUUAUCUUGCUUGCUCAAAUGUCUUGUUACUAUUUUGUGGAAUCAAUUUGCUCUCUACCUCCUCAAAUUUUACUAAAAUUGGUGGCGCUCUACUCGCUUGAGCGAGCGAUUCAGCGGUAAAUUUCUUUGGACUAUGCUGAAGAACUAUGAGCUCAUCCAAAAUCACCAUGAGAGCUAUCUCUUUUUACAAAGAGGGACUAUAGUUGAGAAACUUAGAAAGGAAACACUAAAGGACUGGAGCCACUUUCAAGAACUUUUUUUUCUGUGUGUGAAGGUAAGAAGCAAUCUUGGAAUUGCUAUACUUGUGGUAAGACCUGCCAUAAAAAAAUUGUCUUGAAUAUGUUCGAGAACCGCAUAACUUGCUGAGUGCAGGAAAACCGCAGUACCAAACUCAAUCUGAUUUGAGCUGCAACUUACCUAUGUUGUCCUCAAGUGGUUCAUAAAGCAAGCAACCACUUUAUCAGCCUCAAGACAUCCUGCAGGAAGAUAUUAGAUGAGCAAAGAAUAAUGAUUCUAUAGUAUAUAAUUCAAACAAGUGAGGUUUUCGUUGCAAUUGA
rnacentral:lncRNA from 1 species